rnacentral:tRNA from 1 species
GCCGGUGUGUUGGAACUGGCAGACGAGACGGACUCAAAAUCCGUUGGUGGCAACACCGUGUGGGUUCGACCCCCACCACCGGCACCA